AUGGGAGGUGGAGGGGGUGUGAUCUUUAUAGAUGAACAUGGAGUUUUCAGAGGUGCAACGUCGGUGUUUUUCCCGGAUACAUGCAGCGCGGAGGUGGCUGAACUGCUUGCAUGCAGACGAGCAGUUCAGGAAGCUGUUCAGAAGGGAGUGCAGAAGUUGCACCUUGAAAUGGACUGCCAGACUGUUGUUGGGAUGCUAAACGAAAAGAAGCGGAAUUUAUCAGCUAUGGGUCAAAUUGUAGAGGAAGUGAAAUCAAUGUGCAGUUCGCUUGCUGAGUGCAAGAUCACCUGGGUGAGGAGAACAGCGAAUAGAGCUGCCCAUGGGCUGGCUAAACUAGGAAUAAGUAAUAUGGUUUCGAUGUUUUGGGACCUUGUUCCCCCUGAUUGUAUUCUAAGUAUUAUUUCAGAUGAGAUCCUUUCAUUAGUUUAA
rnacentral:rRNA from 1 species